GCGGGUGUAGCUCAGCUGGCAGAGCGUCGGCUUCCCAAGCCGAAGGUCGCGGGUUCGAUCCCCGUCGCCCGCU
rnacentral:tRNA from 1 species